rnacentral:misc_RNA from 1 species
ACUGAUGACGGUGAUUAUGGUGUGAAGUUGCGAAUGUUAAUCCGCUUUUUAGAGGAUGGCGACAAAACGAAGAUUACGCUUCGUUUUAGAGGACGCGAAAUGGCUCACCAAGAAAUUGGCAUGAGAAUGUUGGAAAGAUUGAAGUUGGACUUAGUGGAACAUGGCACUGUUGAGCAGUUCCCUAAAAUGGAAGGCAGACAGAUGGUGAUGGUCUUAACUCCAACGAAGAAGAAGUAAGUUCGAGAAAUUAGUUCGAAAAGUAAGUUUGAAAACUAAGUUCGUAUAGAUUGCAGUAACCGAGUGAUAAAAAUAUCACU